AGUUAGGGAUUGGAGAGGGGAGAGGGCAGGCAGGAUACGGCCACCAACUGUGUGACCCACAGGCACAGCCGCGCCUUCUUGCACACCCUGCUGCACAGUGACAACACCGCAGCGCUGCACCACCUCACCGUGCACAACAUUGCCUAUCAGCUGCAGCUCCUGAGCGCCGCGCGCAGCAGUAUCUUGGAACAGCGCUUUCCCGACUUCGUGCGGAACUUCAUGCGGACCAUGUAUGGGGACCACAGCCUCUGUCCUGCCUGGGCCAUUGAAGCACUGGCCUCUGUGGGAAUCACACUCACAUGACCUGGUUGCUGGGGAAGGACGCUGGGGUACAGGGAAUAUUGAAGGACUCUUUUUUAC
rnacentral:lncRNA from 1 species